rnacentral:lncRNA from 1 species
GUACCGUUUUGUCAUUGACAUUGCUGGUCCAUCUUCUCAUCUUUAAAAUUUAUUUAUUUAUUUUUGUAUGUGUAAUUUACUUUUCAUUUCAUUUCAAUAACCUGAAUUUGUAUUUCUUAAUAUUAUGAUGUUGUUUAUUUACACUUUGUUUGGGUGGUUGUUACGUAUUGUUUCAUGAUGUAUCGUAUUAUAUUGUAUAGUGUUGUACUGUAUUGUUUUAUUUUAAUAAAUACAAUGUUUGAAUAGAUUGUAUUGUUCUGCAUCGUUACAUUUCAUUUAAUUCCAAUUCCCUGAACUAGUAUUUCUUAAUAUUAUGAUGUUGCUUAUUUAUUUACCGAAAUAAUAUAUAUAUGUUGUAAAACUAAAGACAAAAUAAGACAAGAAAUAUAGAAGAUGAAAGCAAUGUUGUAAUACCAUAGAUGCAUCUAUUAAAUCAUAAUAGUGAACGGUCCACAUGGCAGGUGAACGGGCCCAUAUUCACCUUUCUAUAUGUUCCAAAUAAUUUCAGGGGAUACAAUCUCAACCUUAGUUGAUACAGAUAUCAUUUUGUCAUGACAACAAGCAACAAAAGAGAAUCUUAAAGAAUCUUUUAUUUCUUCAAACAUAUAGCCACGUGAAUUCUCAACUUCUUUUGCAUCACUUUGAACUGGAAUGGCCAACCGGUUAUGCCAACUGAUAUUUAUUCUAGUAAACUUCUAGUUUACUUUUGCAUGUGAUUCCAUCAUCAUGCCCAUAUUUGUAUACAAC